GAGAGGGAGGGGGAAGAAGGAAGCUCAUUUAUGCCAAAAACAGUGCCCAUGAUGAAAAUCAAAAUACACACGGACUGUGCAGCGUAAGGAGCUGGUGGCUCUCUCAUACAGAAGGUCAAACUCUAACGUCCCCAAGGAGGCUGGAAAGUAGUUGAUGGAAAAUUAAAAUAAAAAAAAAAAAUUAAAAAUUAAAUUAAAAAUUAAA